AUCUUGACCUCAGAUCAGGCAAGGCUACCCGCUGAAUUUAAGCAUAUUAAUAAGCGGAGGAAAAGAAACUAACAAGGAUUCCCUCAGUAACAGCGAGUGAAGCGGGAACAGCUCAAAUUUGAAAUCUCCGACGCUUGCGUCGGCGAGUUGUAGUUGCGAGAAGCACUUUCUAGGCGGAUCGGUGGUGCCUAAGUUGCUUGGAACAGUACGUCAUAGAGGGUGACAACCCCGUCUGUGGCACGRCCGGCCGCUCACGA
rnacentral:rRNA from 2 species